GACGAACGCUGGCGGCGUGCCUAAUACAUGCAAGUUGAGCGCUGAAGGAUGGUACUUGUACCCACUGGAUGAGCAGCGAACGGGUGAGUAACGCGUGGGGAAUCUGCCUUUGAGCGGGGGACAACAUUUGGAAACGAAUGCUAAUACCGCAUAAAAACUUUAAACACAAGUUUUAAGUUUGAAAGAUGCAAUUGCAUCACUCAAAGAUGAUCCCGCGUUGGAUUAGCUAGUUGGUGAGGUAAAGGCUCACCAAGGCGAUGAUACAUAGCCGACCUGAGAGGGUGAUCGGCCACAUUGGAACUGAGACACGGCCCAAACUCCUACGGGAGGCAGCAGUAGGGAAUCUUCGGCAAUGGACGAAAGUCUGACCGAGCAACGCCGCGUGAGUGAAGAAGGUGUUCGGAUCGUAAAACUCUGUUGGUAGGGAAGAACGUUAGUGAGAGUGGAAAGCUCAUCAAGUGACGGUAACUACCCAGAAAGGGACGGCUAACUACGU
rnacentral:rRNA from 1 species